AUAUAAUCUUUGUACAUUUUUUGUAUAGGUAAUAGCGAUAGUUUCUACAUCGAUGGUGAGCCAUCCUCAGUCCAUUGGAGAAGCAUCUCAGGCACAGACUCCUUCGCGGUACGACCAUAACGUGGAUCCAUUUAAGUAUGUCUUCAAGAAAACUUCUAAGAGUGACAAGGAGAGGAGAGCGAAGACAUUAGCUCCUGGAUUAGCCAAUGAGCCAUCUACAGAGCCGCGUACUGCACCGAAGAGGCUUGAUUUUGAUGAUCCACCACAAGUUUAGGAUCAUAUAGUGUUAGUUUUGGUCAUAGAAUGACUAAUACAUGUA